rnacentral:rRNA from 1 species
AUGGCGGCGAUCACCGCGCCGCUGCAUCCUCCCCUCGCCGUAUUCGCCGCCGCGCCCUGCCACGGAGUGCGCUUCCGCCGCGCUCCACUCAUCCGCAUGGCGUCCUCCUCCUCAUCGUCUUCGCCUUCGUUCUCCUCGUCCUCCUCUUCCUCCUACGGAGGUGGUGGGGGCGGGGCCGGGGGAGGGGGCGAGAUCCACUACGUCUCGCCGCCUCCCCCGCCCUCCACGCCCUCCGGGGCGCCCGUGUACGUGACGCUUCCGGUUGACGCCGUGGGUGCAGGGGGGCGCGUGGCGCGCAGGCGGGCCAUGGCGGCUUCGCUCGCCGCGCUGGCGAGCGCCGGGGUGACAGGGGUCGCGGUGGAGCUGUGGUGGGGCGUCGUAGAGCGCGGGGGGCCUCGGGAGUACGACUGGGCGGGGUACCUCGACCUCGCCGCCAUGGCGAGGCGCUGCGGGCUCCGCGUGCGCGCCAUCCUCGCCUUCCACCAGUGCGGCGCCGGGCCACAAGACUCAUUCUGGGUCCCUCUUCCACAAUGGGUGCUUGAGGAGAUGGAGAAGAUGCCAGACUUGUCAUAUACUGAUAGAUAUAAACAGAGAAACAAGGAAUACAUCUCAUUGGGAUGUGACAUUCUUCCACUUCUGAAGGGAAGAUCACCUAUGCAAGCUUAUGCUGACUUCAUGAGGAGCUUCCGCGACAAUUUCAAGGAGUACCUUGGGGCCAUAGUGACGGAAGUUCAAGUUGGAAUGGGCCCAGGAGGUGAGCUUAGGUAUCCAUCAUGCCCAACCGAGAAGCUAAAUCAGCCAGGCAGCUCAUCUGAACUUGGGGAAUUUCAAUGUUAUGACAAGCUUAUAUCAGACUCCUGUGUAUAUGAUGGCUUUAGUUUAUUCAACAAUCAACAGGGCCAAGACCGCAAGACUGAGGUGUCGUUUUGCCCUCGGCUUCAGUUUUUCAUGCAAGCAUCAUUGGGUGCUCAUGCGCGGAUUCUCGGGAUUCAAGAGUGGGGAAGUGGUGGUCCAGCUGGCAUAGAUAGCACGUGGCAGAAUCCUGAAGAGACAAACUUUUUCCGUGCCGAUGGAGGAUGCUGGAAUACCCCUUAUGGCCGAUUUUUCCUCGAGUGGUAUUCCGGAAUGCUUCUUCUCCAUGGAGAGAGGUUAUGCGCGGUCGCUGACGCCGUCUUUUCUGGCACCGGCGUGACCAUCUCGGGGAAGGUUUCCGGCAUACACUGGCACUACUACACAUGUUCACACCCAUCCGAGCUGACAGCCGGCUACUACAACACAUUGCUAAGAGACGGCUAUCUCCCCAUCGCCCAAAUGUUCUCUCGACACAGAGCUGCCCUGUGCUGCGGCUGUUUCGACCUGAGGGACGAGGAGAGAAGCGGUCCUCAGAGCAGCCCCGAAGGCACUCUCCGGCAACUGAUGGCUGCCGCUAAGGUAUGGAACCUACCUCUCAACGGCGAGAACUCCGUGGCGAGGCUGGACGACGCGUCGCUGAGCCAGGUCGUCAGAAGCUCGAGGCGCUACUCGGGCGGCACCUCGGGCACGUCUUUCUCCUUCAACUAUGUCAGGAUGAACAAGAGCCUGUUCGAGUCACACAACUGGAACCGGUUUACGAAGUUCGUCAGGAAGAUGUCGGAUGCCAGAACCUUUCUGGCUAGACUGAACUUCAGGAGACACCAAUGCCUGCCUUCAAUGUCAGUUGUUUGGGUUGCUAGCCAGGCCUAUGCAUACACAUGA